GGGCUUUAAAGACGUACUGGGAAAACGACACUGAAGAUAGCAUAAAUUUUCAAUUGAAAGCAGUUUUUAAGAGGAACAAUUUCUUUUGUUGAAGCAAAUACAUCUUUAAAAAUGCAUUUCUUGUCUACACAUUUGGAUUUUUUCCCGGAGAAUCUCUGAACUGAAAAUGAUAAGCAUCGCAAGAGAUUCCACCAUCAAAUCUAGUGAGGAGUGGAUGUUCCAGCAUUACAACGUACACGUUCAUGCUUCCAAAGCAACAAACGAAAUUUUGGUAGUGAAAAAAAUACCAAUUUUAGAAUGGUCUAACUGAAGCCUUGACCUUAGCCUAAUCGAAAAUGUAUGCAGAAUACUUUCUUCAUUGGUUUUCGAAAAUGGAAGACAAUUUGAAAGCGCUAAAACCCUUAUUGUCGGUUGGUCAAAAAUUGAUCAAAAUAUUAUAAAAAACUUAAUGAAAUCGAUGCCUCGACGACUUGAACCAGUUAUAAUCAAAGGAGGAUCCAACACAAAUUACUAAGCUCCAAAUUAUAAACUCACUCUAAAAAUUAUAUUUGUUUAUUUUAAAUAUAAUAACAUUCGUCGUGUACUUUUUUGUCCUGUAAAGGGUGUUUUU